rnacentral:rRNA from 1 species
GCUCCAAUAGCGUAUAUUAAAGUUGUUGCAGUUAAAAAGCUCGUAGUUGUAUUUGAGCGUGUGAUGUUUCGCGGUCUGCAUUCAAAAGAGUGUAGUGACCGUUCAUCUUCGCAAUUAACCAUUGGGUCGUGCCUGGUCUUGAUUGACUCGGGUGCGUUCUCUCUCGAUGGAUCUUACUGUGAGAAAAAUAGAGUGUUCAA